rnacentral:tRNA from 1 species
ACCCGUCUAGCCCAGUUGGUAGAGCGCUGGCCUUUAAGCCAGUGGUCGUGGGUUCGAGCCCCACGGGGGGUA